rnacentral:rRNA from 1 species
CCGGGGUUUCUUUACCAGGUACCGUCAUUAUCUUCCCUGGCGAAAGAGCUUUACGACCCUAGGGCCUUCAUCACUCACGCGGCAUGGCUAGAUCAGGGUUUCCCCCAUUGUCUAAGAUUCCCCA